AUAUUUUUUGAGCUUGUCAAAUAUAAAAUACUUUAACCGUCUAGUUUUUAUUUUAUUAGACUUUGAAAAUAUCAGGUACCAUAUUAAUUAUUUUGAUAAAAAUGGCAUAAUUUAGUCAAUGAAUACCGAUACUAAUUUUAUAAUAACAAAGAAACACUUUUUUUAUCAAGAGUGACCCGAGAGACACACAAACAAUUUGCAAGGAAAAUAAAAAAAAAGUAAAAAAAAGUUGCCUCUUCUGGGGCUUGAACCCGCACCCCGUAUUUUCAAUGUCUGGCCUAUAUGAUUAUGUGGGUUAUAUUUUAAAAAUCUAUUUAUAGAUAAUUUAUAUUUAGAAACAAACUGAUCUUACUGGAAUCCCGUAAUCUAUAUUUAGCCAUGGCUAAGUUGCAUAUGGAUAGAAAUAUAAAAUCCCCUAUUCUUUUUGUAAUGAGUAGAUUAACAAAUUGCACCACUUGUUGGUGUUACUCAACACCAAAAUGUGCAAAAUGUGUUGUUUAAUUGUCUAUAUUUGAUUUUAAAUUAGAUCUUUCAAAAUUUUGGAUAUUGAAACGAUAAUAAUAACCUUAUCCUUAUAACAGAGUUAAGUUUUUCACAAGGAAUGUAAGAUCCCUACAACAGUAGGUAAGGUUAAGUAAUGGGUUGUGUUUAAUCUUACAUCGCAACAGAAGAAGAUACUGACUUAUAUUAGAUACUUAAGUAUACAUAAACUGUUGAAAGAAGUUAUAUUGGUGAGUUCAGAUAGAAAGACAAAGGGAGAUAAAAAAAACAAAACAACAACAACAAAAAGAAACCAGAACAAAUGACCAGUGAUUUAAUCUUUAUCGAUAAUUGAAAAUUAAUUGUUAGUCGAAGCGUUCCAAUUCGAUCUUUCAAUAUAUAUGUGAUCUGCAAAGAUACAUUUUCUGUAAGUCAGUAUACUAUUUAAUAGUACAUGGCUGUACAUUGAUAUACAGCUUAUCGACAAAGCUCUUAUGUGUUGAUAAAGAAGAAGUGACUUUGUCCACAAACACAAAGAUGUGAAGGUAUGAUAGAUAAAAGAUUUUCGGCCAAUGAGCAGAAGUUGUUCUUCGGAAGUGUGUGUAAAAUCCGGUGGGUUCUUUUACCAGAGUAAGAAUAUUACGGUACAUUUUGAAUGAAAGGGGAGAUAUUCUGUUUAAAUAGCGAUACAGUUUUAGAGUUUAAGAUUGUUAGAGGUUCCAGUUGUGGACGGCAAAAAGGAGUUAAAAUAUAGCGUGGUACGAACUCUGGGAGGUCUAAAACAGUUUUGAUGUCGUCAAUUGUGUGAUGUUUCAUUCGUUGGAACUAUAAGCAUUUCAGAAUGAUAAAGCGGACCCAGAUUUUAGUCAUUUUAUAAAAAAGAACGAGUUUGUGUUUUGGUUUAAUAAUGAAAUUCAAGGGAUUCCCAUCCUAUAUAGGACAUGGGUUUGGUAAUUUGCACCUUUUGUUGUGCACAAUCCUCUAAACAGCUGUCUCAACCAGAACAUUUUUCGAUAGUUUCCUUCUCGUAGGCGGUACAGUUAUCGAAGGUUUCACCACCAUAUUCAUAUAGUGGACAACUUAAGAAAACAUUUUUUUCCAGUAAGAGACGAUCAAGCUUCGCAUUACUGUGAUACGUGUAUAUAAUAAAUGUGAAUGCUCCGUCUGAGAUAGGAAGAGGAAAAUACGCCGAGAUGGCUGUGAUGUGUAAUUUCCUUAAGAGCUUCCCUAUUCAUCUCUAGGUUUGGAUAGGUUUAAUUGCCAGUUUUGCGAGUCAAGUAAUGGGUUGUGUUUAAUCUUGCAUCGCAACAGAAGAAGAUACUGACUUAUUUUAGAUACUUAAGUAUACAUAAACUGUUGAAAGAAGUUAUAUUGGUGAGUUCAGAUAGAAAGACAAAGGGAGAUAAAACAACAACAACAACAACAACAACCAAAAAGAAACCAGAACAAAUGACAAGUGAUUUAAUCUUUAUCGAUAAUUGAAAAUUAAUUGUUAGUCGAAGCGUUCCAAUUCGAUCUUUCAAUAUAAAUACGAGUAUGUGAUCUGCAAAGAUACAUUUUCUGUAAGUCAGUAUACUAUUUAAUAGUACAUGGCUGUACAUUGAUAUACAGCUUAUCGACAAAGCUCUUAUGUGUUGAUAAAGACGAAGUGAAUUUGUCCACAAACACAAAGAUGUGAAGGUAUGAUAGAUAAAAGAUUUUCGGCCAAUGAGCAGAAGUUGUUCUUCGGAAGUGUGUGUAAAAUCCGGUGGGUUCUUUUACCAGAGUAAGAAUAUUACGGUACAUUUUGAAUGAAAGGGGAGAUAUUCUAGUUAAAUAGCGAUACAGUUUUAGAGUUUAAGAUUGUCAGAGGUUCCAGUUGUGGACGGCAAAAAGAAGUUAAAAUAUAGCGUGGUACGAGCUCUGGGAGGUCUAAAAUAGUUUUGAUGUCGUAAAUUGUGUGAUGUUUCAUUCGUUGGAACUUAAAGGAUUUCAGAAUGAUAAAGCGGACCCAGAUUUUAGUCAUUUUAUAAAAAAGAACGAGUUUGUGUUUUGGUUUAAUAAUGAAAUUCAAGGGAUUCCCAUCCUACAUAGGACAUGGGUUUGGCAAUUGGCACAUUUUGUUGUGCACAAUCCUCUAAACAGCUGUCUCAACCAGAACUUUUUUCGAUAGUUUCCUUCUCGUAGGCGGUACAGUUAUCGAAGGUUACACCACCAUAUUCAUAUAGUGGACAACUUAAGAAAAUAUUUUUUUCCAGUAAGAGACGAUCAAGCUUCGCAUUACUGUGAUACGUGUAUAUAAUAAAUGUGAAUGCUCCGCCUGAGAUAGGAAGAGGAAAAUACGCCGAGAUGGCUGUGAUGUGUAAUUUCCUUAAGAGCUUCCCUAUUCAUCUCUAGGUUUGGAUAGGUUUAAUUGCCAGUUUUGCGAGUCAAGGUAAGAUAUUCUGUUUUCUUCCACCCAGCUGGAGAGGGUACAGCGAUCAGAGUUAAGAGUGGUAGUAUAGUAAAAGUAGGAUCAUUGAAAAUCAGCUAUAGCUGCCAGCAAAGAGGCGAACAUUGGCUUGUAUAUGAAUAGCUUUCAUUAAUUUACGCAAGGUACUAUUGCAAUAAUGUGUUUCUAUGGUUGAUAGUUAUAAUAGUUUUUACAACAUUUUCUAUGGUUUGUAGUACAUGUAUUUUUAACUUUUACAAAAUUGAGCUUGAUAUUGAUCAUUUGACAAUAUAUAACCAGCAUGCCCGAAAAAUUCAGAACGAUUUUACAGAGGAUAUUGAAUGAGUGUAUGUUCAAUACUGAAUUUAUUGCACGAGUUGAAUAAAUUAUAUAAUGCGAGCCUCUGGCGAGCAUAAAUUUUAUUUUAUUCAACGAGUGCAAUAAAUUCAAUUAUGAACUUACACGAAUUUAAUAUUCUAUUUAUCAUAUACCCAACAUAAAGACCGUUUAAUGUGAAAUAAGAGUCAUUUUUCAUUGAUGCGCCUAUAGUAUAACGCUAACAUUUAGCGCGUCUUUACACUAUGUUUGUAUAACGCUAAUGACGUCACGUCAAAAUAUAUGCACGGCCGUGCAAUACCAUAUUUAUGGAGUCGCGAAAUCGGAACGGGUGUGUGAUAAAAUGUUUUACGUUAGACAAUUUAGAAUGUAGUUAUUUAUAUCUUCUACCAAUUUUCAUAAUAUUCGUAAAAGAUUUACAGGAAAGGGUCCACAAUAAUGUUGUUAGAACGUUUUGCCCAAUCCUUUUGUAUGUACACUUGAUGAUUAUGUUUGUAAAAUUGUGAAAUUGAAUAUUGUUUGUAUAGUUACGCUGUACAUAUUACUAAACUAACCCAAUAAAAAGUUAAAGUUAAGGAA